UGGGGAAUUUUGGACAAUGGGCGAAAGCCUGAUCCAGCAAUGCCGCGUGAGUGAAGAAGGCCUUCGGGUUGUAAAGCUCUUUUGUCAGGGAAGAAACGGUGUUUUCUAAUACAGAAUGCUGAUGACGGUACCUGAAGAAUAAGCACCGGCUAACUACGUGCCAGCAGCCGCGGUAAUACGUAGGGUGCAAGCGUUAAUCGGAAUUACUGGGCGUAAAGCGUGCGCAGGCGGUUUUGUAAGUCUGACGUGAAAUCCCCGGGCUCAACCUGGGAAUUGCGUUGGAGACUGCAAGGCUAGAAUCUGGCAGAGGGGGGUAGAAUUCCACGUGUAGCAGUGAAAUGCGUAGAUAUGUGGAGGAACACCGAUGGCGAAGGCAGCCCCCUGGGUCAAGAUUGACGCUCAUGCACGAAAGCGUGGGGAGCAAGCAG
rnacentral:rRNA from 1 species